rnacentral:rRNA from 1 species
GAUGAACGCUAGCGGGAGGCUUAACACAUGCAAGCCGAGGGGUAUAUUUCUUUCGGGAGAUAGGGACCGGCGCACGGGUGCGUAACGCGUAUGCAACUUGCGCUACUGAAAAGGAUAGCCCUUCGAAAGGAGGAUUAAUACUUUAUAAUAGAAAUCAUGGCAUCAUGAAUUGUUGAAAGAUUUAUCGCAGUAGGAUAGGCAUGCGUAAGAUUAGUUAGUUGGUGAGGUAACGGCUCACCAAGACGAUGAUCUUUAGGGGGCCUGAGAGGGUGAACCCCCACACUGGUACUGAGACACGGACCAGACUCCUACGGGGGGCAGCAGUGAGGAAUAUUGGACAAUGGGUGGAAGCCUGAUCCAGCCAUCCCGCGUGUAGGAUGACGGCCUUAUGGGUUGUAAACUACUUUUAUCUGGGGAUAAACCUACUCACGUGUGAGUAGCUGAAGGUACCAGAAGAAUAAGCACCGGCUAACUCCGUGCCAGCAGCCGCCGUAACAC